AAUGACAUCAUCAUCUGUAAUUGUUAGCUUUCCUUCAACACCACAACAAACCCCCAUGAGAGCUAAAUUCUUCAAGAAUUCACACCCAAGUGCACCAGACCCAACUACAAAAGCUUUUGCCUCUUCCAGCUUCUGCUGUAGCUUGUUUCCGAAAACUGAGAUUUGGGCAUCAUAACGACAAUUCAAGGGCUUCAAAUCAUUUGGAUCCAAUGGUUCAGUUGGAAGAGAUUCAACAGAGUCAAAGUAGAAAAACUGGUAUAGUGGAUGGAACUUCCCAGAGCAAGCCUUCACA
rnacentral:misc_RNA from 1 species